GAAUGUACAUGUGAUAUAUAUAAUCUAUAUAUUUUUAAACAUGUGAAUGUGUGAAUAACAUAUAUUCUUAACCAUAUGAAUACACAUGUAAUAUGUGAUAUUAAUCCUGCUGCAAAAAAUAUUGUCCCGUGCAUAUGCACGGAUAACUUGCUAGUUGUAGUUAAUAAACUAAUUAACCUUUUGUAGAUUAUGGAGAUCGCAUGUCCCAAGAUUUGAUGUCCCACUGUGAGAUAUGAUUGGUUUGAGACAUUAAGAUAUGAAUUUUUGAAAACAUGAAAUCUUUGUUCAAGUUUCAUGGGGUCAGUCUCUGUUUCAUUCUAUUUCAUGGAUCAAUAACAUAUUAUUAUAAAUAAAAGAAAAUAUUUAAAAACAAAAAUAAUAUUUUGAUUGACACGAGAUAAUAUUCAUUUUAUUAUAAAAACUUACAAUCGUGUGAGUGUGAUAAUGGAGAUGAAAAUUGUACGGACGUAUGUUUGAUAUAAUUUUAUAAUUGUGGAAAUAAAAUUCGCUUAUUUAUGUUUUAUGUUUAUUUUUAACCUCAUAUUAUACAUAUCAUAAAUGGACCCUGGUAUUUACAGGGAGACAACUCCUUCAUAAGAUUCAAACUUAUGGGAUGAUAUGUGAAGGUAAAUGAAGCCAUGAUACUUUAAUAUUAUUCUGGUAUUCUUUAAUAUCAUUCCUAUGUCAUGUUCGCAUGGAUUAAAAAUUGUGGUUUAUUUUUAUUUUUUGAAAAAUAAACUAAAAAUAUAUAUCAUGUUUAUAAACUCAGUUUUUUUCUGAAAAAAUAAUCUAAAAAUAUAAGCUCCAAAAUCAUGGGUUGAUUUAUUUAUUUAUAGCUUAUUUUUUUACCAAAUUUUCUAUUUCUCAUUUUAGCACAUCAUAACUUUAUAUCUCUCGUUAUUUUUACUCUUCCAUCACAAAAUCAUAAUUCUUUACAUCAUCACCACCAAACUCCAUAACUCUCAUUUUUCUCUCUUUCAUCACCCAUACUAUUUUCCUUUAUCUAUACACGAACAAAGAAUUAUGUAUAAAACUUUGUUAUAUAAUAUUAAAAUUUUGUGAAUUAUGUAUAAACCCUAAAACUUUUGUAUAAAACUUAACAUCUAUGUAUCAUUUAUUUUGUGAAUUAUGUAAUUUAAGUUUAGUAACUUCCAUUUAUUUAUGUGUUAUAUUGCUUUUAAUAUUGAUAUUGGUUUUUAUAUUUUAUUUUAUUUAAAUAUAUUUUUUAUCCUUUGUUUUAUGCAAUAUUAAAAAUCAUGGGUUGAUUUAUUUUUUUAGUUUAUGUUUAACUACGUAUGAGGUUAUUUGUUUAUGUUAAUCUUAUGUUGUUUUUUAUAUUAAUAUUAGUUUUUAUAUUGUAUUUUAUUUUAAUAUAUAUUAUUUUAGCCUUUGUUAUGCAAUAUUACAAAAUUAAAGUAAAAAUAUAUGAUGAUAAAUAUUAAAAAAAUAGUAUAAAAAACAACCAAAAUAAUCAUAACAUAAACAAAUAACCUCGUAUCAUUUUCCAUGGUUAUAAAAACUGUACCGGACAGGCUGGUUCAACUGGAAAACUAGCGAAACGGACCCCUAACCAGUACGACACAGGUAUUAUACCGGAUAAGCAACAAAACCGGUGGAAACCGGUUAAAAACAGCCGUAUACAUAUAUAUAUAUAUAUAUAUAUAUAUAUAUAUAUAUAGAAACCCCAUCCCUAAACUGCGUCGUUUUGGGCAAAGGGUUUUCUUCAACCUUUGCACCUCAAUUCUUCAACCCUUUGCUGCAAUGACGGAAAUGGUUUUGUUUAUUCAAUGCUCAUAUAAGUGAAUGUUAUUGGUUAUUGUCUCUAUUUUGUAUUGUUCUGUUGUGGAAUUGUUUAUGCUUUGA
rnacentral:sRNA from 1 species